CAGCAGCCGCGGUAAUACGAAGGGGGCUAGCGUUGUUCGGAAUUACUGGGCGUAAAGGGCGCGUAGGCGGCCAUUCAAGUUAGAUGUGAAAGCCCUGGGCUCAACCUAGGAAUUGCAUUUGAUACUGUUUGGCUUGAGUUCGGGAGAGGUGAGUGGAAUUCCCAGUGUAGAGGUGAAAUUCGUAGAUAUUGGGAAGAACACCGGUGGCGAAGGCGGCAACCUGGUCCUUGACUGACGCUGAGGCGCGAAAGCGUGGGGAGCAAACAGGAUUAGAUACCUCCGUAGUCCCUGUCUCUUAUAC
rnacentral:rRNA from 1 species